rnacentral:rRNA from 1 species
UGGGGAAUAUUGCACAAUGGGCGCAAGCCUGAUGCAGCCAUGCCGCGUGUAUGAAGAAGGCCUUCGGGUUGUAAAGUACUUUCAGCGGGGAGGAAGGGAGUAAAGUUAAUACCUUUGCUCAUUGACGUUACCCGCAGAAGAAGCACCGGCUAACUCCGUGCCAGCAGCCGCGGUAAUACGGAGGGUGCAAGCGUUAAUCGGAAUUACUGGGCGUAAAGCGCACGCAGGCGGUUUGUUAAGUCAGAUGUGAAAUCCUCGGGCUCAACCUGGGAAAUGCAUUUGAUACUGGCAAGCUUGAGUCUCGUAGAGGGGGGUAGAAUUCCAGGGGUAGCGGUGAAAUGCGUAGAAAUCUGGAGGAAUACCGGUGGCGGAGGCGGCCCCCUGGACGAAGACUGACGCUCAGGUGCGAAAGCGUGGGGAGCAAACAGG